rnacentral:rRNA from 1 species
CCCUUAGAUGUUCUGGGCCGCACGCGCGCUACACUGACGAAGUCAGCGAGCAUCUCCUACGCCGAAAGGUGCGGGGAAUCUUGUGAAACUUUGUCGUGCUGGGGAUUGAUUUUUGAAAUUCUUGACCAUCAACGAGGAAUUCCUAGUAAGCGCAAGUCAGCAGCUUGCGUUGAUUACGUCCCUGCCCUUUGUACACACCGCCCGUCGCUACUACCGAUUGAAUGGUUUAGUGAGAUUUUUGGACUGGAACUCUCUUGUUCAGCAAUGAACGAGAGGGACUCUGGGAAGCUAUUCUAACUGUAUCAUUUAGAGGAAGUAAAAGUCGUAACA